UCUUCACUGAGAGCCACAGCUGGUACUCCUAGAGGAAGCAUCACUCCUCUGGACUCUCCUCUCCUUCCUUACACUCUUUGCCUUCAGUUCUGUUCUCCUUACAUACUCUUCCUAUUAAGUCUCCUUUUAUUCCCAUUUAUCCCCAUACAUGAAUUGCUUUUUCUUUGGUUGAUUUAUAUCGGCUCUUUUCUCAAAAUGGAAGCUUCUUUUCUUUACUCUUCGAUCUUCUUGUUCUUUAUUUCUCGAGUUUAAAUUUCUCACAUACUUUCUGCUGUUUCAUCGUUCUCGCACUUCGUGCAUUUUCAAAGACAGGUUUCUACAAAGUAAAAAAUUCCCUUAUCCCUUGCCUCUUUAUAGAAAUUUAAAUUUAAGUCUAUGUACUUCCCAUCUACAGACAUGUAUUUGUUUCCCAAACAGAUACAUGAAAACUUAAAAUUCAACGGGGCGAAAUACGUUCAUAAAUUCAUUCAACUUUACUUUCUGGUCAUUAACUUUUUAUCAUCAGAGUUAAUGCUUUUUUCACCUAUUUCGUUUUCAUACGAUCAGUGUAAUUUUGAGUUUUGCUACAUGGUAUUACAGAAAAAUAAGUUGAUCUGUUUCCUACAGAUUCUACACCUAAAGCUCUGCUCUAAAUUUCUGAAAACUAACUUAAGGCCUCAAAAUGAAUCUAUAUUUUACGUUGAUUAUCUGCCGUUUUUCUGACUCAAAAAGUCUGUAGACGUUAUUUCUUUCUUUUAAUUUUACUUUUGUGGUUUGAGAUGCUACCUGUGGUUAACAAUCACUUGCUUACUAGAGGUAAUCUUUUGAAUAUUGUAAAUUUCCUUUUAAUCUUGCAGGACUUUGAUUCUUCACAAAUUUCUGAAGAAUUUUCAGCUUUUAAAGUAUCUAAAUUUUUCUCUUCGUUUUGAAGUUUAAUUUUCUUUCUUUUUUCUCUCCAAAAUCCUCUGAUUUUGCUUCUUAACUUUUAAAUGUCUCAUCCCAUAUAAUUAGGGCUUAUAUUUCAUGAACAUAGUUCAUUUUAUCAUUCUUCACAUCCGUGCUUCAUCAGCAACUGCCGGCUCUUCCUGAAAGAAGGCUGUCUUCAUCAAGAUGGAUCCAUCAGCUUUCUUAUUUUGAGUCUGAACAAGUUUAGAAGAUCAGUGGAGAGCUCUUUGAAGGGGUAAUCCCAAGUUAACCUAGGUACAUCACGCAAACAAACUUCUCCAUCUGUCCUCAAAGGAAGGUCCUGAAUUGUUAUGCAGUGUAAGAGAAACCUCGAUGUCUCUGAAGUGAUUGAUGGACUUUUGCUCACGGGAUCGUGAUACGGAUGAUUGCCUAACCUUUUCGAACGCAAUGGUCACCUUCAGGAAUUGACCAAAUGCAUAGCUCCCCCACAUGCUGAAGAGAGCACCUAAGGAAGAAGACUGACAACACUACAUUUUUGACUGAUAUUUGAGAAUACACCCUUCGAAAUAUUUUUAGAAUGACAAAUAACUCAAUAUGAGACAUGGCAUAACAUCAGUACUUUAGCAAGCAUGUAAAUUCGAAUAUUAGAUGCAAUUUAUUUCACAAUUGUACAGCUUUUCAUCAUUGAGUGCCUUCAUUUCUGAUGCCUCGAAAAUCUCAAAACGAUGAAAAAUAAAAUAUUUUUAAUUAACA